CUGCUCUAGUCAGUACGCAGUAGGCUGUACGCAGAGCACAAGAGCUCUGCUGAUUGGUAUUUAGUAUGCAUCAGAAAGCCCUAAAAAAAAAACAAUUUGACGAAUGCUGGUUUUUCAUAAAGCCCCUACAAAUUGUAGUUCCAUCUGACUGCCGCCAGGAGACUUCAGAAAACCAAGCACAUCGAAUUUUAUGCUUCAUUUCAUUUCACUUUUUAGCUGUCAUAGCUGGUUUCGUAACACCAACCGAAUGUACUCAACCGAAAAGGAUUUGUCGCUGUCCCCGUAUCCGGUUUACAUCGUUUUCAUUGCGUCUACCCUGAUCUUAACCAUGGGAUUUUGUUACUAUUCAGGUUUAUUCAUGUUUAAAAUUAUAUUUCCUUGUGUGCAUGAAAAAAGCGCCCAAUUGACCCAGAUUGGAAAGUACGCGCCUAAAACAUACUUUUUGGCGGGAAACCAUUGGAGAAACGGUUUAGCAAACAAAAAGCGAUUGCGCCAAGCCGUAAUUUCAGGUUUUCACCUUGGAAUUUUUUUUGUGGUUUUUGGCAACGUUGCGAAUUUACUGUCACCUGAUUUCCCCUAGAUCAUGGAUGACCUAAGCUUCGUCGUCUGCAGAUUAAAUGACAGGACACAUUGGCCGUUUCUUUAAUUACCGACAAUCUUCAACAGUCGGGUACGUAAAAGUAAAAAUUUUUGUG